CAGAAUGCGCCUGCUCAGAUGCCCACAAGGGAAGGCUCUAUCAGGGAGGGGCUGCCCUUUUCCACUGAGGGUGCAGCUCAGGAGGGACAUACAUGGAUCCCUGAGGGAGGAAGGGGAUACCUGGCCAGCCAUCUGUGUCAGCUGAAUCUAGCCUAGGGACCAAUGGGAUGGACAAGCAACAAGGACCAAGCUGAGAAAAACCUCACUUCUGGAGCCCUAGAGAAGGAGAAGCCAAGAUAAGAGGCCAGCAUUUAUCCAAAGCCCUGCCAAUGGCCAGUCAGAGGUGACAAGCCCCAACCUGGCACCCUGAAUUCACUUGGCACUGGCUUUAACAUGCUGGAGGCUAAGACUGCCAAGGUGGGUGUGGCCCGUGGUCUGCCUGGAAAUGCUUCUAGCCCCAUGGGGAGUGAGGUCAAAUUGGAGGAAUACCAAGUACCCUGGGAGUCUGCCUGGUGUGUGUGCUUUCUUUGGGGAUACAGCAGGAAAUGCUCUUGGACUGGGUCAAGAAAGAAGUGUUUUGCUUGGAAGAGAAGGUGUUUCUCCUGAUGCAUGUUUCUGUACCACAUGUGAGCAGUGCCUGUGGAAACCUGAAAUGUCUCCAGCAGGAAGUGACACUUUCAGCGUCAACAAUGUACCCAAGACCUUGCUCUCUCUGCUCUUGGAGAAAGAAGUCUCACUCCUUCCUCAUAGAAUAGGACAUCAGCACUCGCCCUCAGUCGGAAAACCUCUUCCACUGCUCUUUUGCCAUCUCCCUGGUGUGUUGAGACUUAUGCCUGACUGUUGGGAGCCUUGGCUGUGACUGGAAUGCGUUCUGUAUGUUGAAACUAUCAUGCUAAGUUCUCCUCAUGUGUUCUGUAUGCUUCAGAAGAUCUUGGAUAAAGUUGAACUUGGAUGA
rnacentral:sRNA from 1 species